rnacentral:rRNA from 1 species
AUUGAACGCUGGCGGCAUGCUUUACACAUGCAAGUCGAACGGCAGCGCGGGCUUCGGCCUGGCGGCGAGUGGCGAACGGGUGAGUAAUACAUCGGAACGUGCCCAGUAGUGGGGGAUAGCCCGGCGAAAGCCGGAUUAAUACCGCAUACGACCUGAGGGUGAAAGCGGGGGAUCUUCGGACCUCGCGCUAUUGGAGCGGCCGAUGGCAGAUUAGCUAGUUGGUGGGGUAAAGGCCUACCAAGGCGACGAUCUGUAGCUGGUCUGAGUGGACGACCAGCCACACUGGGACUGAGACACGGCCCAGACUCCUACGGGAGGCAGCAGUGGGGAAUUUUGGACAAUGGGCGAAAGCCUGAUCCAGCAAUGCCGCGUGCGUGAUGAAGGCCUUCGGGUUGUAAAGCACUUUUGGCGGGAACGAAAAGGACUGUGCCAAUACCACGGUUCGAUGACGGUACCCGCAGAAUAAGCACCGGCUAACUACGUG